UUAAAUAAAUGAUUUUAGUUAAAUGAUUUAUGUACAAAUGUGAGAUCACAUUAUUAUUAAUGUGAGCGAAAUCAAUUAAAAAUCAAUAAUUAAGAUUGGAUACCUAAAUUUUUCUAAAAAUAUAAAAAAGUAUGAUAUUGAAUAUCCAAAAAUAACAUAAAAACGUAAAAGUAGGAGGGGCAGUGAUGAUGAAAACACAAUUUAUACUUCGUCUGUUUUGUUUUAUAGGUAUUUUAGAAAAUGUUGUUUAUUAUUUUUUUUUUUUGUCAGGAUCUACAUACUCGUAGAUGAGUUGUAUCAUAGAUACAAUAGCCGCAUCAGGGAUUACUUUCAUACAAUAAAGUUUAUCAUCUAACCGAAAGAUACGCAAAGAUAUCUCCGGACGUUUAGAUAAUAAGACUUUAAAGUCUGAUAAGAAAACCCGUAAGGUCUCUCUCCAAGAUCCUGAAAAACAAACCAAGCAAAAACAAACAUAAGAAUGAUAAAUUAAAGAAAAAAGUAUUUUGGAGAAAAUAAACCCAAUUAUGACAUAUAAAUCCUGACAAAAAUAAAUAUAAUAAUAUAACAUCUUAUUCAAAAAUAAAAAUUUUAGAACUAAUAAAAAUACGAUACAAAUAUGAAAAGUGAUAAUGUCUAACCAAAGUAAGAACUUUGGUUAGACACGCAAUAUAAAGAAAUCGUAAUACAUAUUAAUAUUUUCUUGUGGGAACAAAAAAACAAAAACAAAAAUUAAAGAUUUUUGUUAGGAAAAGAGGGAAGUUACAAAUUAAAUCAUAUUUAUAUCCCGAUCAACGUAAAUUAAUUAUUUAAUAAUCCAAUUAGUCAAUAAAAGGGUUAUCAUAACAUCACAAAGUAUAAGAAUUAAGAAAUUCAAAUUAUUAAUCCAAGAACAAAAUUAACCGCAAAAUAUUCAUUUAGGACAAUAGGCCGAUAAUCAUGCCAACCAAUAUUGGUCCAAAAAUAUAUGCCACCAAUUAUGGCCACCAAAAUUGGUACAAACUCCUUGAACGUUAUCAAGACCUAAUAAAAGCCAUCGAUUAUGGCACCCAAUAAAUAUUCAUAAAUAUUAAUAAAUUAACAAAUUUAAUAUGCCAAUUAAGCGGAAUAAAUGCACAUAAACACUUACCAAACACACAAUUUUUCAAAAACAUGAAUGGAAUCAAUUAAUCCCUAAUUAGGGUAGAGAAAAUUCAAAUUCCAAAUCUGAGCAAAAAAAGAGUCAACUUGCCAUAUAUAAUACAAUAAAGAUCUACAAUUACUAAAAUCCACCUAUUCAAAAAUCAAAACUUAAAACUAAAUUAUGCACCAAAAUUAGUCAAUCAGAAUAAUCAACUCGCACUAAUUAGUCACCCCUACACCACCUCCAAAAAUCCGACCAUGAAUAGCAAGCCAGACCAAGACUAGGCAAAACGAAAAUAACAUGUCAUCAAAUUAAUAAAUCGAGCAAUUCAAAAUACAGACAAAAACUCAGCCUAGACACAGACUAGAUACCAGCUCGGCAUAAACACAAGCAAAAAUCAAGCAAGCAGCAGCAAUCAAAAACGUAAACCAGAAUCUGAACUCAAUAAUCGACUCCUAUCGAGUCAACUGAAGGAAAAACUAAACAUAAUGACUCAAUGAUGCAACUCGGUCACGGAAAAAUCGGUGACUCCAAAAUAAAUGAUACCAGAAUCAGACCACAAAACUAAACAGAGAAGCAUAAACUCAUCUUCUUUUCUUAGUGAUCAACUCAUUUAAACAAAAAAAGAAAAACGACUUACUUGUACCGUGGCCUCAAAACUCACGGACUUACCCGUAUUCACCUUCAAAGGGCAAAACAGUUGCACGACAUCAUUUUGAUGAUUUCAUCUCUGACUCAUCGGGUUUACUCACUGAGUUGGCUCCGAAUAAUUAGCUUUCCCCAGACUAGCCCAUGGAAAAUCCGACGAGCAACAAAAACGUACCAGAAGAUUUCAAUAUGACUGCUACUCAAUAGUCCCUGGUAUUGAAACUAUAAAAAAGACAGUCUCAAUAUACACAAUCUUAUGUUGAGCAAAACCAUGACUUUUUCCCCAAAAAAUAUGAAUAAGAAACUAAGAUAGGGUUUAUAUAUGUGUAUAAAAUUUUUUUGGGGCUUGUUGUUUAAUAGUUGGUAUAGGUUAAUUCAGGUUGAAAUUUGGGGAUUGUUGUGGUUUGGAAUUGAUGGGCGAUGCUGGUGGUGGUGGCUGGCCGGUGCUGCGACGGCAACGCCGACGGGCUUCGGCGGCGACUGGAACGGGGGAGAAGAGGGAGAUGGCAGAGGAGAGAGAGAUGGGAGUUAAAAAUGUUGUUUAUUUAUAAAUGUAGAUCGUUCUCUCUUUCCAAAAGUAGUUGGGUUGUCUAAUUACUUUUGUUACCCUUAUUUAAUAUCAUAAGUCAAGAGAAAAAAGGAGGAGAGACAUCAAACGAGGGCAAAGAUGAAGAAAAAAAGAGUUAAUAUAUGUUUUAAUGUAAUAAUGUGUGAAAAAACCUUAAACAGCCUAUAAAACAACACAGGGAGUAUAAUCUUUGGACUGAAAAUAACAACUUUCACCGUGCCAAGAACCCAACUAUUGGCCCCAUAAAUGACUAAUGAUUGAACCCUCG
rnacentral:lncRNA from 1 species